rnacentral:rRNA from 1 species
UACAGAGGUCUCAACCGUUGUUCGGAUUCAUUGGGCGUAAAGGGUGCGUAGGCGGUCGCGUAAGUCAGGUGUGAAAUCUCAGGGCUCAACCCUGAAACUGCACUUGAUACUGCGUGGCUCGGGUACUGGAGAGGAGACUGGAAUUCACGGUGUAGCAGUGAAAUGCGUAGAUAUCGUGAGGAACACCAGAGGCGAAGGCGGUUACCUGGACAGUUACUGACGCUCAGGCACGAAAGCAUGGGGAGCAAAAGGG